AUUCUCUAAAAGUAUACUAUUGAGUAUUUUUUUUAUUUUUUUUGUCUUCUUCAUAGUUAAAAUGAGACAUCAUUCUGACUAACUAUUUCAAAGUAUACUUUUCAUUUCCAAAUUAGGUAAUACUUUUUUGUUCUGUUUUACUUGCAACAUGCUCACAUUUUACGAAAUGAAGGGAAGUAUUAUGUAAGAAUAUAUAGUAUCCUUUCAAAAAAAAAAUAAAAAAUAAAAUAAAAAAUAAUAAUUGAAGUAUAUAGUAUUAGGUUGAUAGUACUAUAUUGUGUCCAAAUUUAAUGUAUUGGUUGCAACCUUUCUAGUGAGCCGAGCCCAAUCAUGUAAAAAUAAUACACCCUCCUUUGAUGUAGUGUUAGCCCAAAAAAAUAUACAAAUUCUAAAAUAGACCUGAUUGUAGACCAACUGCCUUUGUCAUGUAUUCUCACGUGAGCUUCCCUUUAGACAAGCCAAUUUAUUUUCACAAAAUUUUUGGAAUAUAGUUAUCCUCAGGUCUACCAUUUUCUCUCUCUUCCCAACUGCAAUACUCUCUCAACACUUUCAAGCUCUCUGAUCUUCUUCUUCAAUGGUGAAAAUUAUACGCGAUGUGGUGUUUCACAAAAUCGUGGUGGAGGUUAAGAAUUUUGCUGCUGCUUUUGUCUGUUGGAUUGGUUGAAUGGAGGGAGGGAGGUGCGUAUGGUGUUGUUUUUUAAGGGGUUUGUGGUGUAUGAUAAGAUUGGGCAAGCUGACUUGUUUGUUGGUGCUGCUCUGUUGCUUACCACGGAAGUGCUCUGUUGCUUAUUAUGACUUUGAUGAAGAGUUUUAAAAGUUGUAAAUGAUCAUGUAAUUCUUUGUAUUGUAUAAUGUGUUAUUGUGUUGUAUUUAUACAAUAAAGCAUAAAAAAAAAGGUAAUUAAUGAUGGUGUUAGCUAGGUUGAUUUACUCUAUUCAAUUUCUUCUAAAUUUGGAUUAUUGAUGUAUUUUGGAUUAUUUAUGAAAUCAAAAUAACUACAAAUUGAUUUUAAGCUA